UACGUAGAGUGCAAGCGUUGUCCGGAAUUAUUGGGCGUAAAGAGCUCGUAGGCGGCUUGUCGCGUCGACUGUGAAAUCUCAGGGCUCAACUCUGACAUUGCAUUCGAUACGGGCAGGCUAGAGUUCGGUAGGGGAGACUGGAAUUCCUGGUGUGGCGGUGAAAUGCGCAGAUAUCAGGAGGAACACCGGUGGCGAAGGCGGGUCUCUGGGCCGAUACUGACGCUGAGGAGCGAAAGCGUGGGGAGCGAACAGG
rnacentral:rRNA from 1 species